rnacentral:rRNA from 1 species
UACAAGCCGUUGUAAGGUGAAACCGCGAACAGCUCAUUAAAUCAGUCUCGGUUUACUAGACGGAAGGGCGACCGUAGAUGGAUAACUGCGGAAAUCCUGGAGCUAAUACAUGCCAUUGACGCCGCGACGGUCUAACGACCGAAGCGCAGCCUUUAUUAGACCGUACCGGAGAUUCUCGUCCGCGAAAAUCUCCUCCGGUGACUCCGGGUAACCGACAGUGGAUCGCAAGGCCUACGAGCCCGCGACGCAUCUUUCAAGGGUCUGCCUCAUCAACUAGACGGUUCGCAAAACGCCGACCGUGGUGGCGACGGGUGACGGAGAAUUAGGGUUCGAUUCCGGAGAGGGAGCCUGAGAGAUCGCUACCACA